ACGCCGAUCGGUUGUUAGCUAUGAGGGUUCCGUGGGAAUAGAUAGUUCUUGUACUUUGAAGCGGCGAUCAUCAAGCUUCGUAACUUUAACCAAUCAUAUUCUGAACAAUUGUUAAGUGGAGAAUUAGGGUUUCCAUCUCACGAUUGUAAGUUGGAAUUCAAUGCAAAAGCUUGUUGAAAGGUUGAAUUAAUCUUUUAUGAUCAAUGAAGGUUUGUUGCACAUGAAUGUUAUAAUCCGCAAUCAAAUCAAUCAAAACCUCUAUAUUGCUUUGCUAAUCUACAAUCAAAUCAAUCAAAACCUCCAUAUUUAUUUGCUUUUGUUUUACUCUAAUCUCAAUUAAUACUUCAUCGAGUCCAUGGGAGAUCGAUCUUGGUGUUCUAAUACCUUGUACUGCAUUCAAAGCAGAAUACUUUGACACACAUCACGACAGUGCUUUCGUCAGUAUCCUCCCUUGUAAACAAUCACUUUCCACCAAGACAUUUCAGAAGCCAAGAUCCAUUGCUAGCCUCAAGGCCCAAUUUGAGACUCCACGCUUUCGCCCGAAAAAGGGAGUUUACGACCCUGUAGCAGCUAGUGGUUGUCGCUAGCACCUGUCCCUUCCAAUUUCGACCCACAAAUCCACCUUCUGCACCCUGGUCCUGCUUGAACAACGCUUCCACGUUAAUCUUUAUUGUACCUCGUUAUGGUGGUCUCCACCCCACUCCUUGCACAUUUUCAUGCGAAACCCCCUCGCAGCCCGAGAGGAGAACAAGGAUAGGUCUGGCUCCUGCAAUUCCAGAUCACCCAAGCGAUUGCAAACACCCAUCUCGUAACACUAUCAUUUGCAUGUUUAAUCCACUGUACAAUCCAACUUGAGAAACUCACAGGCUCAUCAUGUAUUCUAAUUAAUAGAGGGGAAGCAAACCAACUUAAUCUCAUGUUGGGCACCGAAACAGUAGAUGAUCAAUUGUUUAUGGGGCCAUCGAUCACAUUGGGCAAACCUGGUCCAAUUCAACCCCUUUCCUAGCCGAAUUCUAGCAAACCCGUAGUACCUCCUAGCACGC
rnacentral:lncRNA from 1 species